UGGUCUACUCCCUCCGUCCAAAAAGUGAAUCUAGCUCUGUAUGUGACACAUUAUAGUACAACGAAUCUGGAUAGAAAUAUGUCUAGAUUCGUAGUACUAGGAUGUGUCGCAUCGAGUGUUGGUUUUUUAUGGGACGGAGGGAGUGGUAAU
rnacentral:misc_RNA from 1 species